UACUAAAUAAGCGACCACAACGGUAUUCGUAAAUAUAUUAGUCGCUAUUCUGUACAACGGGUAAACACGGUCAUUUUCGACGACGAUUUUGUAAAGGAUAAAGCAUAACACAGUUACAAGUUGUUAUAGUUGUUGUUGUUUGCCAGUGUGUUUGACUGUGCACUAUAUUCUUAAGUUCCUGGUUUUGAUGAGUGGUUUAAUGUAAAGUAUGUAGAGGAAAAUGAUAUAUAUACAUGUAAGCUGGCAGAGGAGUUUAAUACAGGAGAUGUAGAAGUAAUUGAGAGUCAGAUGGCUUGCUGCAAUUGUCUGUUAACUGAAAGUAGUUUUACAAGUGAACAAUAAAAGAGAUCAGAGAACUGUAAGAAGUAAUGUUUGUUUUGAGUUACAAUGUGUUAGCAUUUUGUAACAUAUACAUUGUAUAUGUUACGAAAAAGUAAUGAACUACAACAAUCAAAAAACGAUAUAACUGAGGAGUUACCUGCCCUUCUGAAAUACAUAUAAAUUCUGACAAUGAACUCCAUAACCAAUAUUAACCUUUGACCUAUAAGUUCAAUUAACCACACAAUGGUUUGUUAUCUUCUUUGUUGCAAUUUGGUCACCUAGGAUAUACAUACUUGUAAAAGCCCUUUGCAAAGACAUUUAAUUAAUUUAAUGACUACUACAUGUGUAUUAUUGUUUGUAAGUUAACAAUAACAGAAUUAUGUUUUUACAUGUUUGACCUUUGACCUUAUCAAAUAUCCCAUUACUUUUGUAAUUAAUGCUUGUGGUUUUACACAUUCCUUUGCCCUGCAAUGUAAGAUUUGCUUUGCAAAACACUACACUAAGUGAUUUUAAGUAAGUGUAAAAUGUUUCAUGAAAAUAACUCAUAUACCAUGGCUUUUGACCUUUGACCUUCAAUAUGAAAUGACAUUAUAAUUGUCAUUCAACCUUUCAGCCAUCACAUUUUCUUGUAAGACAACAUAAAAGUACAAGGUAAUAUGAUAUUUAUCAAUGUAAUCUUAUAACUGGAACAUGUAAAAAAACAAAGUUUACAUUUUGAAAAAUCAUAAAACCAUCUACAAUGUAUUGUUUAUAUUCAUCCCAAAGUGGUCAUAAUGCCUCUGUUUUUAAACUGAAAAAUCCGGACAUCCAAAAAAAUGAAUAUAUUAAACUCUGUAAGUAUAGCUGUAGUGGAAAAUAAUGUAAAAAGUUUAAAUUUCAGUUAAAUUAUAACUGUAUGAAACUUAGGCAAAAAAUGGCAGAAAAAUAUGAAAAUCUGAAAAUUUCAAGGGGAGAUAAAUCUUGAUUUUUUCGAUCAAAUUUGAAAACUGACCAUAUCAUUAAGUUUGUAUUGAAAUUAUCUUUCCAAUGAUAUAUAACACUUAUUACUCCAAUUUAUUUCAAAUUUUGGCUUGUGGUACCUAACUAAAUACUGCUAAGGACCACUAAGGAGACACA